AUACCAUGUUGCCAGGCUGAGACCUGCCCCGGAUUCUCUUGCUACUGCAAGGCCACUAGGCCUGGACAAGAGCGGGGGGACUCAACGCAUCUGCAAGCUGUGCCUCACAUUCAGCUGUGCGGGGGUCAGACGGAGUGACAGAAGGCCUUGGGGAUGGCACAGCGACACUCAUCAACAAAGCGCAUGAGGACAGCCUUCUGGCUUGGCCUUGGGACCCCGUGACGUCGACGCUGGCGACCCCAUGCACUGUGGGCCUCGAAGCGCCUUCUGAACUGAUGCAUCCCUUCUCGCGCCUGGCCCUUUCCUUAGGAUCGUCGCCCUGGAAUCUUCUGCAUCAACAAGGACUGGGUUGUAGCUCCAGCCUUGUGAACCAAAGGUUUGGGGGGCUCCCCCUCGUCUUCCGUGGCAUCCCAGCUGUCAGAAUUCUCCAUGUUCAAGACAGAGCCCCCGUCUGCGGCCUGCCCUGGCCCCUCCUUGACCUUCC